rnacentral:rRNA from 1 species
AUUGAACGCUGGCGGCAGGCCUAACACAUGCAAGUCGAACGAGUGGCGGACGGGUGAGUAAUGUCUGGGAAACUGCCUGAUGGAGGGGGAUAACUACUGGAAACGGUAGCUAAUACCGCAUACCAUCGGAUGUGCCCAGAUGGGAUUAGCUUGUUGGUGGGGUAACGGCGCACAACGGCGACGAUCCCUAGAUGGUCUGAGAGGAUGACCAGGCACACUGGAACGGAGACACGGUCCAGCCUCCAACGUGAGGCAGCAGUGGGGAAUAUUGCACAAUGGGCGCAAGCCUGAUGCAGCCAUGCCGCGUGUAUGAAGAAGGCCUUCGGGUUGUAAAGUACUUUCAGCGGUGAGGCGUUACCCGCAGAAGAAGCACCGGCUAACUCCGUGCCAGCAGCCGCGGUAAUUC